ACCAAUGUGAACAUACAUCUUAAUUAUUUUGAAAUAAUUUCAGUCUUAUAGGAAAACUGUGCAGGUAAAGGACUCCAACACUCCCUUAGAGAGUUCCCAUUCCAGUGAGAGAGCAACUGACAAUGCAGGUGUGCAAAUGCCAUGGAGCAAAUAAUGGCACUGGAAACAACUUAAAAUCUAUUUCCAGUUUUAAGGACAAGAAAGCAAAAGUCCUGAUUUUGUAGAAAAUCAUAGAGAUCCCUGGAUACUCUAUCAGAACUAGAAGAACUAACUACAUAAGCACAACAUAUUAUCAUUAUACAAAUAUAGAAAGCCUCAGCGACUUUCACUUUUCCACGUAAAUGCAGAAUACUCUGAGCUAUAAGAACAGUAUAGUUAUUACUCAUCUUAACAGAUUUCUGAUUGAUGAGAGCCAUGACAUCGAAAGAAUCUAAGGGAUUUUUCCUUAUCAUCAAGCACUGUUUUAAAAAAGGCUAGCAUUAUCUUCCCACUUUCCUUUUCUUUGCCCCAAUAACCCUAGGCCCUAGAGCCUCAAGACCUGCCUCCUGGUCUUCUGCCAUGAACUUACUGCCUUAUCAAUAAACCUUUUGUUUCUGUUGGUCACGCCAGUCAUGUUUUAAUCUGCCAUUACCUGUGCUCAGGGCAUUAACAAUGUAAACAUUCACGUCACUGUUGAGUCUCAGAAGGCGAACACUACCAGAUACCUAUCAGGAAAGAACAGAGCCCCCGAUUCUCUCCAGGGCAGCAGGCUUCUACUUGGCUGUCACUCCAGCUGCUC
rnacentral:lncRNA from 1 species